AGAGUUUGAUCCUGGCUCAGGAUGAACGCCGGCGGUGUGCCUAAUACAUGCAAGUCGUACGCACUGGCCCAACUGAUUGAUGGUGCUUGCACCUGAUUGACGUUGGGUCACCAGUGAGUGGCGGACGGGUGAGUAACACGUAGGUAACCUGCCCCGGAGCGGGGGAUAACAUUUGGAAACAGAUGCUAAUACCGCAUAACAACAAAAGCCACAUGGCUUUUGUUUGAAAGAUGGCUUUGGCUAUCACUCUGGGAUGGACCUGCGGUGCAUUAGCUAGUUGGUAAGGUAACGGCUUACCAAGGCGAUGAUGCAUAGCCGAGUUGAGAGACUGAUCGGCCACAAUGGAACUGAGACACGGUCCAUACUCCUACGGGAGGCAGCAGUAGGGAAUCUUCCACAAUGGGCGCAAGCCUGAUGGAGCAACACCGCGUGAGUGAAGAAGGGUUUCGGCUCGUAAAGCUCUGUUGUUGGAGAAGAACGUGCGUGAGAGUAACUGUUCACGCAGUGACGGUAUCCAACCAGAAAGUCACGGCUAACUACGUGCCAGCAGCCGCGGUAAUACGUAGGUGGCAAGCGUUAUCCGGAUUUAUUGGGCGUAAAGCGAGCGCAGGCGGUUGCUUAGGUCUGAUGUGAAAGCCUUCGGCUUAACCGAAGAAGUGCAUCGGAAACCGGGCGACUUGAGUGCAGAAGAGGACAGUGGAACUCCAUGUGUAGCGGUGGAAUGCGUAGAUAUAUGGAAGAACACCAGUGGCGAAGGCGGCUGUCUGGUCUGCAACUGACGCUGAGGCUCGAAAGCAUGGGUAGCGAACAGGAUUAGAUACCCUGGUAGUCCAUGCCGUAAACGAUGA
rnacentral:rRNA from 1 species